rnacentral:lncRNA from 1 species
GAAACCUGCUUCGGCGGCCCGAGGUGGGGGUUUUGAGUCGGUUAGUGGAGGCAGUGGGAGCAGGAUGGGCGGAGCUUCUGUUCCAAAAAUUUCCCCUAAGUGCGGUUGACAGUGUGCAGGCAGGCGGGGGUGCGCGGGGCGGUCAGCGAUCUGCAGCUUCGCGGGGACAGAGAUGUAACCCAACUCGUUCACGGAUGUUCCGCGCGCCGUGUCACCGGCUGCGGGCCAGGGGUACUCGGAAGGCGCGGGCAGGAGCCUGGCGAGGAUGCACCUUCCCCUGCCUUGGAAAGGUAGAACUGGGGAGUGCGGGAGGGUGGAGGUGGCCCGGAAAAGAACACCUCUUCGCAACCAAAAAAAAAAAAAAAAAAAAAAAAGAGGAAAUAGAGGAAAAAUGUGUUAUUUCAACCGCCACUCAGAACCCAUCAUAAUUCAGCCAGUCGGUGUCAUUUUUAUUGAAUUAAAUUUUAAAAAAGUUUUCUUUGAUUUCCAGAGCGUUUUUGCGGGAGGAAUAUGUUAAAACAAACUCAAGAUACGAAAUGAGACUUUUGAAGUGCCUUUGAUUUCUGGUCUUGCUGCAGUGUAUCGGACGAGUUUAACCAGAUAUCCAGCACUAGCCUUCUAACAGUUUCUAACUCAGUGGUGACAUUUUUUAGUUCUUAACUCCCCCAAUCCUUCUUAGCCUAACAAACCUCUUAAUUAAGGUCCAUGAAAGACCAUAAACCAACCUGAUUAUGCCUUUAGCAAGGCUGUGUUCACUUAAUCUCUAAUCCCAUAUCAUAAAAGUCCGCUAGUCACUCCUGACCUCCAGGAACCCACCUAACCAGGGUGGACACUAUAAGAAAACAUGUGUUUUAAUGGAAUGAGAACUUUUUUGAGUUGAAGACACGCUAGCCUCAGGAAGCAGUGAGCUCACCAUCCCUGGAGUGUGAGUCAAGCACUAGUCUUGGAUGACCCCUUGAUAGGAACGUUGUAGACAAGAUUCAAAUAUCAAAUAGUAUUUGGACUAGUGAUUUCAAAGUCUAUUCCAGACCCCUGUGAAACUGUAUUUCCAACCUUGGCAUUUCUGGAUUUCCACUAAAUUAAGCCACUUUCCUUGCUCAUUAGCAUCUUGUAGAGCUGUGUGGCUAUUUGAGCGCUUGAAUGUGGCUAGUCCAAAUUGAGAUGUGCUAUAUGAGAUAAACACCACGUUUCCAAGAAUUAGUAUGAAGAGAAAAUGUUAAAUAUUUCAUUAAUAAUUUUAAUAUUGAUUACCUAUUGAAAUAAUAUUUUGUCAUAUUGGGCUAAAUAAAAUAUAUUAUUAAAAUGAAUUUCAUCUAUUCCAUUUUACUUUUUUAGUGGAGUUACUAGACAAUUUACAGAUGUGUCUCAAAUUAUAUUUCUAUUGGACAUUACUGUUCAAGACUAUCACCUGUGGUAACUUGAGGCCCCAUCUUUAAAAGUGGUGACUAUUAAUACUGAGGAGUAGGUGGUAACUUCUAGCUGCCAUCCUAACUUCUCAAAUUAAAGUGAGACCCAAACUCAGCCUCUGAAAGCUUUAUUAUUUAUUUAUUUAUUUAUUCUUCUUCUUAUUUUUUUUAAAAGAUAGAGUCUCCCUGUCAUCCAGGCUGGAGUGCAGUGGUGUGGUCAUGUCUCACUGCAACCUCCAACUCCUGGGCUCAUGCAAUCCUCCCAACUCAGCCUCCAGAAUCACUGCAAUUACAUGUGUGCUCUGAAACCUUUUUUUUUUUUUUUUUUAACUUUGUAGAGAGUCUUGCUGCGUUGCCCAGGCUGGUCUUGAACUUCUGGCCUCAAAUGAUUCUCCUGCCUUGGCCUCCCAAAGUGCUGAGAUGACAGGCAUGAGCCACCAUACCUAGCAUCUCUGAAACCUUUAAAUAGAAUUCUGCCAACAUCUAACACCUACUGUUUAAUCUUUAAUUAAUUAAUUAAUUAAUUUUUCUUUUAAAGACAGGUCUCACUCUGUCACACAGGCUGGAGUGCAGUGGGCAUGAGCAUGGCUCACUGCAGCCUCAAGCUCCUGGGCUCAGGAGAUCCUCUACUUCAGCCUCCCAUGUAGCUGGACUACAGAUGUGUGCCACCACAUCCAGCAGUUUUUUUUUUACUUUUGUAGAGAUGGGGUCUUGCUAUGUUGACCAGGCUGGUAUUGAAUGCCUGACUUCAAGGAAUCCUCACACCUUGGCCUCCCAAAGUGGUGGGAUUACAGGUGUGAGCCACUGAGCCCAGCCUGUUUAAUACUUAAUGUAGGGUUCAAGCCCAGACUAUGGGAAUAUAGUAUAGAUAUGUCUGAUGAACUCAGACUUGGUCACCACAGCUUUUCACAUUAUGGCAAUAGGAAGACUGGAGGCCGGACACAUUGGCUUACACCUGUAAUCCGCACACUUUGGGAGGCUGAGGCGGGCAGAUCGCUUGAACUCAGGAGUUCUGGACCAGCCUGGGCAACAUGGUGAAACCCCGUUUCUACAAAAAACAAAAAAAAAUUUAACCAGGUGUGGUGGUGCUGCCUGUAGUCCCAGCUACUCAGGAAGCUGAGGUGGGAGGAUUGCUUGAGCCUGGAAGGCUGAGGUUGCAGUGAGCCGAGAUCAUGCCACUGCAUGCUGGCCUGGGCAACAGUGAGACCCUGUCUCAAAAAAAAAAAAAAAAAAAAAAAAAAGAGAGAGAAAGAAAAGAAAGAAAGAGAAAGAUUGGAAACUCCAAUAUGUUAGUUGUGACUCUGCCAAAAAAAACUAUUUAGACCCCACACAAAACCUGCACAGGCAGAGCCUCACUGCGACUCUUCAGGAGAUAGGAAGAAAGUGGGGAGACAGAGCAGUAUGCUCAUUCUAAGAUUGGGUCUCUAGCAGAAGCCUGCACAAUGAAAAAGUAUACCAUAUUCUUGGAUGGGAACACCCAACAUGACAAAGAUGGCAGUCCUCCCUAAUUCAUCUGCACCUCUUUACACUAAAUUCUGAUAAUAGGUUCUGAUCAUCCUGUUUCGUUCCUUUGUUGUAGCAGUCUGUCCACUCAGGACCAUAAUAUAAUUACUGUAAAUUUGGAAUAUGUUUGAAUUGCUGGUGGGCCGAGUCCUCCACAUCUCGAUGGGUCCCUUUACUCCUUUUUUUCCCCCAGAAUGUUCCUGUUUUCUUUUGCUUGCCAUUUUCCCCAUGUGGAUUUAAAAUGAAUUUGUCUAGUUUUAAAUAUAAUUCUGUCGGCAUUAAAAAAAAAAAUAAAGUGGGAUUCUUAUCUCACACAUCAGGAUAAAUUCCUGAAGAAUUAAAGAGGAUGAAGUAGAAAGAAAUGAAACCAUAGACAUGCAAGGAGAAACCUCAAAGGAUUUUUAAAAAAAUCUCAGAGUUGGGGAAAGACUUUCUGAGUACGACAAUAAACAUAGAAUUCAUAAGAUGUAAUUUUUUUUUCUUUUUGGUAGAGACAGGAUCUCUCUACGUUGCCUAGGCUGGUCUUGAACGCCUGGCCUCAAGUGAUACUCCUGCCUUGGUCUCCAAAAGUGUUGAGAUUACAGUUGUGAGCCACUGUGCUCAGCUGGGAGGAGCUCUUGCGGCCAGGAUUUUAAGACCAGCUUGGACAACGUAGCAAGACCUGUUUCUAAAAAAUAAAAAUAAAUAGUUAAGCUAUU